CGUACUUAUUUGUAUUGCCAUA
rnacentral:miRNA from 1 species